GAAGAGAGAGGACCACGCUGCGCUGCAGGAAGCAUCACAAAGGCGCCACCAAUCCAAUGUGUCCAUCAAAGGUUGGUGGAGAUGUUCAGCGGUCGCUUUGGAGGCAUUUAUUAAUGUGUUCAUCUGUUAUUAACUGAGGUCCACCCCUCAGGGCGUGGCCGAGCAGGAAGUGGCGGUACGUUGCUUUAAAUAGGACUGAAGCUCACGAUUACUUUCAUCGAUUAUCACAUUAUUCUUGUGUUUAUUUCUUUGUCUUUUUAAACCUUUUUUUAUUUUUUAUGAGGAAAUGCAAAGAAUAGAAACGGUAGAGGAACCCAACAAUCAUCACAUUCAGGGUACUAGAGUAGAGGUGGACCAUGUGGCCUGGAACACAAUCGGACUCUGCUUCCUAACUAGACCGACAUGCGGGUUCAGGUCUUCAGGUCUUCACAGACCGAGUCCAGCAGCUCUACACCAGACGGCCUUUACAGAGAGGUACCGACCUCUUCUUCACUUCCCUCGAGCGACGGGCGGUUCUCUGUAGAUGGGGACCUAACGGACAUGUAGGCCGCAAGGUGAACCACGAAAAGUCCUUUAGAAAAUGAAUCCCGCUCCACAGUCGCGCAUCUCCACAAUAUUUAGUUCAUAAAAAAGAAAGUCGUGCUUAGCUACCAAAAAAAAGUCCGUCGCUGAAUUUGCCGUCGAUUCUCGAUGCGACUAUGUUUUAUGCCGAACUAGUUUCUCCAGAGCGUAAUAGGAUCUUGGUCACGAGUGGUGGCACGGUUCGACACGUGAUCGUUCUACACCAAUGAGGUAGCUGCUUUUUGUCAACAGAAUGGCAAGAUGGCGUCCUCGAGCAGUACGGAAGACGAAGAAAAUACAUCGGAAUAUAUUAAUAAAUCAAAAAACAAACAUUGUUUUUGCAUAUUACUUCAGUCAAGCACGAGGAGGUACAUUAUUUCACCACUACACGAUGGAAUACAUACAGGACAAGCCUACAAACGUGGCUCGGGUUGGACGGUGAGUCCCUGAGAACUUCAAACACUGUGUUGAUGUGGAGUUUGACAAUAUUCCCGAGGAUGCUGGCUUCCAUCACACGUGCUACCGUAGAUUUACGGACAAAAAAUCCAUGGCAAAGGUGGAAAGACGUCUCGCACGUGAGAGACGAGAAUCGACGGAAGACCACGAGGCCAUUCCAUCGACUUCUAGCGGCACGAGUCCAACAAAGAAACUGCGAUCCAGGUCAGGGCUGCCAGUCGCAGGCUCUGGCCCCGUUCUUCCUGCCCUGUGCAUAAUUUGCCAAAAAAAGGAGAAGUUCGUCAACCGAGCAGGCAAACGACAAAGGGAUACUCUGUCAAAGGCUGAAACAUUAACAGCAGGCCAAUUGCAGAAAGCUGCCGAGUUGAAGGAUGACCAAAGUAUUCUUUUGCAUAUAUAAGACAAAGACUGUGUGGCUCUGGAGGUGCAGUGCCACAAAGGCUGUUAUAAUCAGUACACCAGGUUUUUGACGAGGCCUGAAAAACCAGAGAAAGACCAGGAGGAGUCAACACGACCGUUCGCCAUGGAGGCAUCUACGUCAAAGCCGUCAUCCCCAGAGGAGCAGCUGAGCUCGACGGGCGGAUACAGA